CUUAAGUUUUUGCCGUUUACCCAGCUGAGUGUUUCUUUGAAGAGAGAAUCUUAAAAGACUGAGA
rnacentral:snoRNA from 2 species